AUCCCCACUUCAUCCCACCCCUUCUCCUUCCGUCACCAACAUAUGCGGGGAAAGAAUUCAUCUCGACACCAUCACACAAACUGAAAAUGCAUGAACUAGAGGUAUCUCAAAAUGCAUGAAAUUGAUUUUUCUUCGAUUUAUUAGUUAUGGCAUUGCCAAAAAAAGAGAGGACAAAAUGAACCUUAUGCAAGCUUUAUGGAUCUUAAGGAAGAGUAUGUAAAGUCCAAAAAAUCUGGUCACAUUUUAAGGAGAAUGAUAGGGAAUGGAGUUAUUUUUUCAAUCGUCGGACAUUUUUUCUGUUCACCGGACAUGUUUCUGGCCAGAUCCCUUUCUCUCUCCCACUUUAGUUUAUGGUUUGGAUUCAAUAUUGGGGAACUUCCUUUGAUUUAAAAUUUGAUAGAGUUUCUUGUUAUUUUUUAAUAUUUUAGAAUUUUUGAUUUAUGAGAUUGAAGUGAGCUCUAUCAUAUCAAUCUCCAUUGUUUCAGGUGCGGAUUAAGUGAAAAAGAAAGGAGAAAUAAGUAAAAGGAAAAGGAAAACUUGGAAAAAAAUAUAACAAAAAAGUAGGAAAUACAUUUUAAAAUGUGGCAGAAUUAAUUUUUUAACUUGUGUGUUUGUCUCUCACUCUCCUUAAGAGAGUGUAUAUCACUCUCUAUGCCAUAUCAGCUUAAAAGGUGAAACUUUUUAUACUUUGAAUACAUAGAGGGGGGUCAUAGGACCCCCAUAAAUUACAAGGGUGCAACUGGCAAAUAUCUACAAUCUCAAAGGGGUAAUUAUGUAUUAUCCCUAGAAAAUAAUUGAAUUAAAUUUUUCGAUUUUCCCCGACGAUGGAUAUCAAUCGACAGGCUUCUUGAGGGAUUAAAGUCGAAAGAAAAAGACAAAAAGAUUUUCUUUUAUAUGUAGUGUAUUAAUUCCCCCCUUAGUUUUUCUUUGUGACGCGGUUCUUUUCCAACGUUUUUGAUUGAACCGGGUGUAGUUAGUUUUUAUUUUCGUAGAAGUAGGAAACCUUGUGCUAGGAUUUGAAUGGAAGGCAACAUCUUUUGACUCUAUUAUACCUUGAGAAUAGUGAGUGCUUUAGUUGUGACGCUUAGGCUCAAUUUUUGACUCCUGCAUAAGUACCUUAAAAUGUAUGAUCUUAACGUUGCUUAACUACUCUGGCUAGAGUGUCAUGAUUCCGAUCUUGAGUGAGUUAUGUGCCAUGUAUAUUUGAGGUUUUGUGGUAUUCUGUGCAUUGCAUCUGAUGUCUAGAACUUGCCCUGUAUGUUCGCAACGCGAAAUAGUAGUUUUUUUCAGUCUUGAAAGUGAUAUAGACAUUUCUUUGUUGAUCAAGUUAUAUGCUUUUACCAACCUAAUUGUUAUGAAUCUUAAUUAACCCAUUUGAGCCUGUAAUCCUGUUUCUUUUGCAACUACAUUACAAGCCUUACCCAUUUGUUUGAAUUGACCAUCUACCUCCAGUGAUCGCUUGAAUUGGUUAUGAACUUUAUAAAAGUUGAAGUGUGGGGUGUUUGGUUGGGCUUUUGAGUGAAACUAAUAAAAAGUAAGAGUCACUUGAAUUGAAAAAGAAAGAGAAAAAAUGUAGGUGUAUUGUUGUGCAAAAUAAUCUUUAAUUGUGGUGACUCUUGAAGUAAUUGUGCUUAAAGAAGUAGGGAGUUAAUGUAAAUCGAUAUGAAGGUGGAGUUAUGGUUUGACAUAAGUGUGGGAUUUUGAACGGUUAAUUAUAUGUAUUAAAGUACUUAGGGGGUGUAGUCAGUCUUAUAUCCAAAUGUAUCCUACCCAUCCUACAGACGACAUUACAACCAAAUAAAGUCCUACUUGAUCUUUGACUGAAUGAGCUCAACUAAUAUAGUAGUACACUACGAGCAAGCCUCUGAUAUGUCUUUUGUGGCAUAUGAAUGCUGUUUUUGAGAGUGAGCGAAUUCUUUCUAUCUUGAGUUCCUAAUUGUUCUUAAUUUCUAUCGUGUGUGGAACUACUCUCUAUUGUUGUGUGACGACACUUAACUCAUGAAAGAAAAGUAAUGUCAUGGACCUUUGGGCUAGAGUAAGUGAGCGGGUUAUGAAUAAUGCGUGGUGAUUUUGAGUCAAAUCUUGAGGUUAGGAUCUUACGAUAUUGUAGUUAAUCUAUUUUAAAGAGUCUUGGUGUGAUGAGUUAUGAGAGUGGUUGGACAAAAGGUCAUAUUCUAUGUGAAGUGUAGUUUGAUUGCUCGAGGACGAGCAAUGGUUUAAGUGUGGGGUGUUGAUGGUCGGCUAUAAUCUCGUGUUUUAGUCAUUUAUUGCAAUUCACUGCACUUUAUUAGUGUUGGAGGUUUAAUUGGUAGUAUUUUGCACUUAUUGCAUAUUUUAUGUAUUGCAGGAAUGAUUCUGAGUUAAAAAAAUGUUGUGGAUCUAAUUCGAGUUAUUUGGAGCUUUGAAGUCUGAGUAAAAGCCCAAGAGAUUUAGUUGGGAUCGUGUUUGGGAAUCAACGGAUGACUAGUGUAAUUAAUGGGAGGAAAAAGAGUUAAACAUGAGUGAAACUCAUAUGCACGACCGCUCAUGAGAGACCCCAACCCACAUACGACCGCGCAAGUGACACAAUAUUCUUCCAAACAUCUGCGGUCGCGCACUGCUUCCGCAAAACUUUGCCCAUGCCUAUUUUUGUAAUUUCGAACAUGAUUCCUUUUGACCUAUAUGAAUCCUAGCUCAUCUAGAAACAAGGUAUCUCAGAUUUUGGAGCAACUUUUGGAGAGAAGAAGGCAAGGAAACAAUGAAAACGUGAAAUACUUGAUCCAAUUCAUUCAAUACGGAAGUUUGCUGAAUUUUGGGGAACUGUAAUGUCUUCUUGUUCUUCUAAUACUUUUGUGAUGAAUGACUUCUCUACUAUGGAGUAAUCUUUCUUAGAGUUAUUAACGGAUGUUGUGCUUUGACUAUUGUUUUGGGUUUUUACUCUUUGUUAAUUGCCCGAAUUAAUUGAAUGAGUUAUUAAUUGAAUUA
rnacentral:lncRNA from 1 species